AAAAAGAAAAGAAGCACUCACUCAUACAUUUAUUUUGAAUAAAAUAGAAUAAUGUGAUGAUUGAUGGUAUUGUACAGUUUAUUUAUAUAGUCCUGUUUGCACGAUGAAAAAAGAAACUACAAAUUGAAUAUGGUAAUGCUAUCAAUAACAUUAAAAGAAAUAUAUAUGGACACAUUUUUUAAUUUGAAAUUAUUGGAAAAUAAUUAAAAAUCCGGUGAAAAAAAAAGAGAGGAAUAAAAUGGAACAAAAAAUCCGGAAAAUAAUAUGGUAAAUAAAAGUCAAUAAAGUCUAUUAUGAGAAAUGGACAUAUGACUUCCUUAUUGGUAAGAUUUGAUGAUCAUUUUUAUAAUUAAUGAGAGAUGGAUUAAUGGUAAUACUACCUAAUUAUGUAAAUGACGUGGAAUGUAAAUAAUAGAAAUUGAUGACAUGUUUUUUGAUAUUUAUUUCCACCAAUCAAAUUGACACAUAGGAUGAAAUUGGGGACAUGUCACAUAAUGAAAUUGACAAAUGUCAAUCAAUUAGGCAUGCAAUUCAACUUUUAUAUAUUAUAUAGAUUA
rnacentral:lncRNA from 1 species